ensembl:lncRNA
AACCACGAGCCUCACUCACUCGACAACUCAGGUCAAAGGAAGGCCACAGCCACCGUGUAUAACCCACAUACUCAGGUCUGCUGUGAUGGACGUGUAUCUCCGUGGAAGCCUUGGAUCGAUCAGUGCUGUGGAGAGACGCCGUAUGGCUCGGCACAACGUGGAGUUCUCUGUUGUAAUAAAACCUUGUACGAGGACAGAGAUGAUGGAGAGGAAUGUUCAGAGAUGGGUAUUCCUUACAACCCGGCUAAAGGGACCAUAUGUUGUUCUCAGUUUCAUGGCAGCCCAGGACAACACUGCUGUGGGACAGAAAUUUACCGGCCUCGUACUGAGAUCUGCU